CGCACAUUGCGCCUUCCGGUAUUCCGGGAGGCAUGCCUGUUUGAGCGUCCGUCCGGUCUUGCCGACAGAGAGCUGUUGCUAUUGCUGUCGGCAAUCUUGGAGGAUGUGCACGCACCCCUCUCAAAGUGAUGGCUCUGACUGGAUUCGGUUUUCCCUUCAGUUGGAGCAUCUGGUAGGAUGCAUUGCACCCAAUGCACUGCACCGCCACACUCACUGGACCUCAAAUCAGGUAGGGAUACCCGCUGAACUUAA
rnacentral:misc_RNA from 1 species